GAUGGACGUACAUACAUAUAGAUAGGUUGCUGUGCAUGAGUUUACCUGUGGGCCACAGUCCUUUUUUACCUAAUGAGCACGUGUAACGGAACAUGCAGCGGUGAUGAAAUACCUGGAACAAUUGGCUAAUUACAGACCAAAUGACCAAGAAAACAUCUUCAUCCAUGACAUGCAAGAGUGCAGUCAAAGCCCCGCACCUGGGACGACCUCCUGACCAAGACCACAUAGACGACCAAGCGAGCCUCAAUGUGAUAACAGUUUAUCAGCUGCGCAUUUUUAAAAUGUACAAGUAUCUACAUAUGUAUGUACAUUUGUACACAUGUAUCUACAUAUGCAUGUACAUACAUAUGAAUGUCAACCUCACACAUGUGUUAUGUAUAAUAUUCCUCUAAAAAAAGGGAAUGCGAAUGCAAAAUCAGAUAGGAUGGGUUCACCACUGACGAUCAAAUAUCUAACCUAGUGAAUCAAAUAGAUGAUGUCGUGAUGACUGCUGAGAACUCCGAAAAACAUUGCAGCUGGAGGAUAUGCAGUAGCGUAACCCUGAACGUCUCUGCCCCCACGCAGGCCAGGCGACUCCACUGCUAACUGAUUACACAAACGUUAACGACACCCGAAGAGCGGAGCAUAGCUGUCAGGGUUUAUCAGCGCUCUGCCUGUGCCCGUUGUGGGGGGCAAAAACAACUGAAAAACACUUUCACGCUCGCAGGGCAAUGGGCAAUGGGAGAGGGGACUUCCAGACUCACAAGGGGAGAUGCCGUUAAUUGGGAAUGCAUUUAGUCCAUAUAUGUAUGUACAUACUUAUGUACAUGCAUACAUAUGUAUGUAGCUGCACUUAAGAAAUACAGUAUUUUGUGAAGGUGAAGGCUCAGCCAGAGACAAAUGACGUUGGCAGACUUUAAGGCAGCUCGGAAAACGGCAAACAGAAAACAUAAAGAUAAGUGUGACGCUAACCUAACCAGUGAUUAAACAGCGAUUACUACUCGAAUAUUGAACUGAAACGACUCGAUCAGCUGAUUCUCUUGCACCUAACUAAUAUCGAUAUUCGAUUCUAAGCCCUAUACUCUUUCGCUCUCGCUAGCUCUUUCGCUCAGCUGUGCAGUGUAUUGUUUUGUUUUAUUUUUUUUGCACUGGGGUGCAGAGAAAUAAAG